rnacentral:rRNA from 1 species
CUGACCGGCAGCCUAUACAUGCAAGUCGAGCGAAUGGAUUAAGAGCUUGCUCUUAUGAAGUUAGCGGCGGACGGGUGAGUAAACGUGGGUAACCUGCCCAUAAGACUGGGAUAACUCCGGGAAACCGGGGCUAAUACCGGAUAACAUUUUGAACCGCAUGGUUCGAAAUUGAAAGGCGGCUUCGGCUGUCACUUAUGGAUGGACCCGCGUCGCAUUAGCUAGUUGGUGAGGUAACGGCUCACCAAGGCAACGAUGCGUAGCCGACCUGAGAGGGUGAUCGGCCACACUGGGACUGAGACACGGCCCAGACUCCUACGGGAGGCAGCAGUAGGGAAUCUUCCGCAAUGGACGAAAGUCUGACGGAGCAACGCCGCGUGAGUGAUGAAGGCUUUCGGGUCGUAAAACUCUGUUGUUAGGGAAGAACAAGUGCUAGUUGAAUAAGCUGGCACCUUGACGGUACCUAACCAGAAAGCCACGGCUAACUACGUGCCAGCAGCCGCGGUAAUACGUAGGUGGCAAGCGUUAUCCGGAAUUAUUGGGCGUAAAGCGCGCGCAGGUGGUUUCUUAAGUCUGAUGUGAAAGCCCACGGCUCAACCGUGGAGGGUCAUUGGAAACUGGGAGACUUGAGUGCAGAGAGGAAAGUGGAAUUCCAUGUGUAGCGGUGAAAUGCGUAGAGAUAUGGAGGACACCAGUGGCGAGCGACUUUCUGGUCUGUAACUGACACUGAGCGCGAAAGCGUGGGGAGCAAACAGAAUAGAUACCUGUUAGUCCACGCCGUAAACGAUGGAGUGCUUAGUGUAGAGGGUUUCCGCUCUUUAGUGCUGAAGUAACGCAUUAGCACUCGGCUGGGAGUACCGUGCAAGCUGAAACUCAAGGAAUUGACCGGGUCGGUCAUAGCGUGUACCAUUGGCGUAAUCGAGCACCGGAGACCUUACAUGGCUUGAACUCCUUGCAACUAGAAAUGGUCAUUCCUGGACAG